AGCGAACGCUGGCGGCAGGCCUAACACAUGCAAGUCGAACGAACCUUCCGGGGUUAGUGGCGGACGGGUGAGUAACACGUGGGAACGUGCCCUUAGGUUCGGAAUAACUCAGGGAAACUUGUGCUAAUACCGAAUGGGCCCUUCGGGGGAAAGAUUUAUGGCCUUUAGAGCGGCCCGCGUCUGAUUAGCUAGUUGGUUGAGGUAAUGGAUCACCAAGGCGACGAUCAGUAGCUGGUCUGGGAGGAGGGUCAGCAACAUUGGGACAGGGACAAGGCCCAAAUCCUACGGGAGGGCGGAAAGGGGGACCCUGCGGCAAUGGGCGAGUGCUGAAGGCGCCCGGGCCGGUAAAAUGUGGAAGUCUUAGGAUUGUAAAAUUCUUUCACCGGGGACGAUAAUGACGGUACCCGGAGAAGAAGCCCCGGCUAACUUCGUG
rnacentral:rRNA from 1 species